CGGCAGUCAUCGUGUCGUAGUCGUUCAGAAACGCGUCGGGCCCGGUGUUUGUAGUAGUCGUCGAGUGUGCGCUCGUCGUACUUAAUAAUAAUAUUGUUGUAGUCGUUGUUGUCGUCGAGCGCUUCCGAUUUCCUAGACCGUCUGCCCGAAAGCUCGUCGAACGUCUCAUUGUCCGGUUUUUUUUUUUUUUUUUUUUUUAAUAAUCUUUGUCCGGUGAAUCGAAUAAAAGAGUCGAUUUUGAUAUUUUGAUCCGAUCGAAGUUUUUCUCUCCCCCCCUCUCUUCCCCCUCAUCAAACACGUCGAUUAUCGAAUUGACGCGUGUCGCAUCCGUCGUAUACGCGUACAUGUAUGCGAACACUCAGAAUUUCGGAACGCCUCAAGCCGCCACGGGCAUGCCGUCGCAGCCGCAACUCAUCCGUCCCGGAGGAUUGUUCACUCACAAAAAGAUGUCGGGGUUUCUACAUGAUGCUGACGGUUCAGACUUACACGACAUGAGUUCGGUCAUCGAGGGUUUUCAGAAGAAGAACAGCGUCGGAUCCAUGGGAUCGGCCACGACCGCCGGCAACCAUAUGGCGUCGUCGAAGAAGAACACGUCGUCGUCGUCUUCGAGUUCACGGUUGAUGGAGUCGUCGUCGUCCACGUCCUCUUCGUCUUCCACCUCUCAGCACGUCCUGCACCGACAGGUAUCUGAAAUGACGACCACAUCAUCCGAACUGCAAAACUCUCAACUUCUCCAGCAGCGGAUACUCAUGGACGCUGGUGACGUUACCGCGGUCAACUCCGCGGUUGCCGAUGACGCCGACGGCUGCAAACCUGUCGAUGGGGUAGACCCAUUGGUCACGUUUCCCGAGUCACCUCCCGUUUUGAUGUCCAACGUGUCACCGCUCCUGCACGCGUCCGCCACCCACCCCAAACCGGUCCGCGUGGCCGUGCAGGACGUACGACUGAAACAUCCGGCCCCGGCCACAGCGGCGACCACCGAGCGGCGCGUGUCCACGUCCAAAUUGGUCCAAGAGGCGUACGAGUCAUCGUCGUCGUCAAGCAGCACCAGCAGCACGGUUUCCGAUUCACAGGAGGUGCUCCACCAGCACGGUGACGUCCGUAAGCUACACGCGGCCAACGCGAUCCGGGCCAGGCUCGCCGGUACCAUCGGGAGCUCCAUCGCCAACCGUGAAACCGAGACCGCUCUGAACAAACACCAGGAAAAAAGAACACUGCAGAAAGCUGGAGCAAUAUCUCAACAGGAAAACCUGCAAAACACCUGUGCUGCCACGAUGAAAGUGCAGACCGAUUCGUUUAGUUCGGAAAAGAAAGCUUCGAGCGCUCAACAACAAAAACAGACAAUUACAUCUUCAGGAAUGUUUAACCAAGAAAAACAUAUUGCUCAGUCAUCACAAUCGAACUUUACGUUCACCAAAAAAGGCAUUUGCACGAGUUCAAAAGCCGUGUCAUCCGCCACUUCACAAUCAUCACACAACGGGUCUUCGUCUGGCGGCAGUGGUUCGUCGCCUCCAUCGACACAUGUGAUCAGAAGUGUCGACGAUCUGUUAAACACGAAUUUCGAUGAUCUAGACCAGAUGCGAGAGAUAGCUAACACUCAAGACGUGGAAAACGCCAUUAAAAAGUAUUCACUGUACCUGGAGAAUGCUGUCAAGGGACUGAUGACCGGAAAGUACGCCGACGCCAAAGGCCCGAUAAUGCUUAACAAAAUGUUCGAUAUGAUUUGCAAGGCGUGGGCCGUACCGACCUACGAACUUGGUUAUGCAUUGUGUAACACAUUCCGGGACUGUGGUGGAAUGGAUUUGUUGAUCAACAACUGUGUAUCCAAAGACCAAAAACUUCAGUUCUCCAGUGCCAGGUUACUUGAACAAUGCCUGACCACAGAAAAUCGCGCCUACGUAGUGGAAAAUGGACUGGAAAAGGUCGUACACGUUGUGUGCGCGUACAAGAGUCAAGUGAGCUCGGCCGAUCAAUCUAAAGUCAGUACUGGAAUUCUCGAGCAUCUAUUUAAACACAGUGAAAUGACAUGUAGCGAUGUUAUCAAACUCGGUGGUUUGGACGUACUGCUGUACGAGUGCCGCAGACGAGACAUCGCAACCCUCAGACACUGUGCCGGCGCUCUUGCCAACCUGUCGCUGUACGGAGGUGCUGAGAACCAAGAGCUGAUGAUCAAGCGCAACGUACCCACGUGGUUGUUUACGUUGGCGUUCAACACGGACGACAACAUCAAGUAUUACGCGUUCUUGGCCAUAGCCGUUUUGGUGGCCAACAAAGAAAUCGAGGCGGCCGUGCUCAAGUCCGAAACCCUGGACCUGAUCGACCCGUUUGUUACCACCCACACGCCAUCAGAGUUCGCCAAGUCGAAUCUCGCUCACGCUCAUGGCCAAAGCCACCAUUGGCUGGAGAGGUUGGUCCCGGUGUUGAGCUCAAUCCGAGAGGAAGCGUGCAACUUGGCCGCAUUCCACUUCUGCAUGGAGGCUGGCAUCAAGAAGCAACAGGGCAAGACCGGCAUAUUCAGCGUGAUUAACGCCGUCGAACCACUUAAGAAGGUGGCCAGUUGCCCCAACGCAAUAGCGUCAAAGUUCGCCGCCCAAGCAUUGCGGCUGAUCGGCGAAGAGGUACCGCAUAAGCUCAGCCAAAAAGUACCAUUGUGGUCACCCGAGGACGUCCGCGAAUGGGUCAGACAGAUCGGCUUCAGCGAGUGCUCCAAAAACUUCGUUGACAGCCGAGUAGAUGGUGACCUGCUGUUGCAGUUGACCGAACAAAAUCUUAGGGACGACAUCGGAAUACACAACGGAAUCAUGCGAAGAAGGUUUAUGAGGGAAAUACACAAUUUGAAACGAUUGGCAGACUACAGUAGUAGAGACACGACAAAUCUGAACUCCUUCCUCCAGUCAAUAGGUUCGGAGUUUUCCGUGUACACUUAUUCCAUGUUGAAUGCUGGCGUUGAUAGAGAUUCCAUCAGGUUCUUAUCAGAAGAACAGCUUAUACAAGAGUGUGGAAUAUCAAACAGCAUUCACCGGUACAGAAUACUAGACUCGAUAAGAGACAUGGAGACGCUAAUGGAAACGUCCUCUUACGAAGAAAACAUGAACAAACACUUGGACGUGUUCAUCAGCUACAGACGAUCGACUGGAUCUCAAUUGGCAAGUUUGCUCAAAGUCCACCUACAACUUCGAGGAUACUCAGUGUUCAUCGACGUGGAACGUCUGGAAGCCGGCAAGUUCGACAACAACCUGUUGCAAAGCAUCAAGCAGGCGAAAAACUUCAUAUUAGUAUUGACGCCAAAGUCGCUGGACAGGUGUAUCGGCGAUAACGAAUGCAAAGACUGGGUGCACAAGGAAAUCGUGGCUGCUAUACAAGACCAGUGCAACAUCAUCCCGAUCAUGGACAACUUUGUGUGGCCCGAACCGGAGACGUUGCCGGAGGAUAUGCAAAACGUGUGGAAGUUCAACGGCGUGAGGUGGAUCCACGACUACCAGGACGCGUGCGUGGAGAAGGUAGAGAGGUUCAUGCGGGGCGAACUGAACGGGAUCCGGGACGGCGCCAGUUCGGGACUGUCGCUGAACAGGUCCGGCGGCGGUGGCAUCGGCGGUGGCCCGUCCACCAUCAAGAGCGACCCGUCGGCGCCGAACACGCCCAUGACGGUGGGCAGGUCGCCGCCAACGUACCAGCGGACGCAUUCCAACGACAGCGAACGCGACCUGACCGGUAGCAAAGAUUGACUAGCGGGGAACACUUCCAGGUAUGGGACUGUGGCCGAUGUUUUGCUUUCCCGCCCGAUCCGGUUGCUACGUUUUGUGUCCGUCCGCUUGUUGUUGUCGUCCGUCCUGCAGCGGCCUCCGAGACUUCAUGGUUAGAUACCGGAAGUGUUCGAGACUACCUGCCUGGAGGCCACCAAUGAGUCCAAAUGGUCGCGGAAAGAAUCGGAAACGAGCCAAGAGCGUGGAAGGUCUAUUAGAGACUACCGCCGAACCGGAUCCGCGAGUACAGGUACAGGCUCAAAUGAAAAAGGCAAAGAGCCUGGAAGAGUACCUGGACACGUGCGAAGAAGACGCUGAAGACAGCUGUAGCGUCUCAGCGUCGGUCAGCGACAGCAUAAAGAAGAAAAACUUCGUCGACAAGUGUAUAAACAAAAUGAAAUCAUUUAUAACGAACAGCAAAAAGACUUCAACGGACUCGAAAUAACGAAUAGAUUUAUUGUAUUAUAUGGUAUAGUGUAUUAUAGUGUAAAUUUUUUUUUUAUGCAAGUUGUAAUUAUUUUCGUUUUUACAUUUUUUUAAAGUUGUUGUUGACCCAAUAUUUAUAUAUUUUUUUAAACCUAUACAUACCUAUAUUAUAUAUUUUAAUUUUACUAGUUGUUAUUAUUAUUACUAUUAUUACUAUUUUCUUUUGUAAUUAUUAUGUUUUUAUACGAGUUUAUACGAUGAUUUGUUUGCGUGUUUAAAAAAUACUGCAUUUAACAUCAUAUUAUAUUCUACUAUAGUACCUAUAUAAUCUUAAUACUAUUAUUAUAGAAUUUGUGCAAUACCUAUUAUUAUUAUGGUUUAUGUGGAUACUUAUUGUGUCAACGUAUGUUAUAAUCAUAGAUACUACAAACAACAACUAGAUACCAUAACAUUACCGUCUUUAUAAUAUUACGUAUGCAAUAUCGAUAGACUUAAUGAGUAAAUAUUGCCUGCUUGGCGAACUGCAGUUGACUUCAAUUAUGAUAAGAACAAGAAGACUAUACCUAGUGGCUAGUUGUUACACAUAUCUAUGGAUAUAAUAUUGAGUAUAUUGAUUGAUAACAUGUGAUUUAAAUGUUUUCAAAUAUAAAAGACAUUAAAACAACA